rnacentral:rRNA from 1 species
CACUCCUGCGGGAGGCAGCAGUAGGGAAUCUUCCACAAUGGGUGCAAACCUGAUGGAGCAAUGCCGCGUGAGUGAAGAAGGUCUUCGGAUCGUAAAGCUCUGUUGUUAGAGAAGAACACGUGCUAGGUAACUACUAGCGCCUUGACGGUAUCUAACCAGAAAGUCACGGCUAACUACGUGCCAGCAGCCGCGGUAAUACGUAGGUGACAAGCGUUGUCCGGAUUUAUUGGGCGUAAAGGGAGCGCAGGCGGUCUGUUUAGUCUAAUGUGAAAGCCCACGGCUUAACCGUGGAACGGCAUUGGAAACUGACAGACUUGAAUGUAGAAGAGGAAAAUGGAAUUCCAAGUGUAGCGGUGGAAUGCGUAGAUAUUUGGAGGAACACCAGUGGCGAAGGCGAUUUUCUGGUCUAACAUUGACGCUGAGGCUCGAAAGCGUGGGGAGCGAACAGGAUUAGAAACCCCAGUAGUCCC